AAGACGCUCGAAUGAGUGGUGUAGGCAAAUGAGAAAAACAUGAAGACACGCAUUACAUUUAUGUCAGGAAAAAUACAACCCGAAUGGGUUGGCAAUGCUUGUUAUAAAGACGGCGAGUGUGGCUGAGAGGUUGCCCAAGUCACCAGAAGUUUGCAAGGAAAGUGGACGGGCGUCUCAAGCAGUAGUCUUAUCAUUUGAUGGUUCUGCUGCUGGUUGACAUGGGCCAUUGAAUUUGUCUACUUGCUGCCAUUGUGGCAAGUCAGGCCACCAGGUGGUUGAGGGUGUCAACAUCUUUGGAAACAAAUUGUUGCUGCUUUGCCCUUCCCCGACUGCGGACGCCAGGAUUACUUGUAUACGUUGACAGGACUUGGUGGAUCUUGAAAUAGAUGGGCGAUUCAAGAGCUUCAGUUGUGACAUGAAAUGCUUAGCGUAAGCAUUAAGUUGAUUGGACGACUUCGCUGUAUGACCGAUUUAUCUUGGCUUUGAUUCCCGAAACUGGCAAGACGACAACCAAGGAAUUUCAUUGGCGAUAUGUGUCCUUUGACACCCUCCUACCAAAGGAGAACACUUUAUGACAACUGCUGAUGUAGAGAAGAUACAUAAUUGAAAGUCAUUUGCCACUUAUCAUGCAAUUUGUGUUUUCAGUGUUUGAAUAAAAAAUGGAGUUGUCA